GGAGACGUGGCCGAGUGGUCGAAGGCGCUCCCCUGCUAAGGGAGUAACGGGGUAACUCGUUCGAGGGUUCGAAUCCCUUCGUCUCCG
rnacentral:tRNA from 1 species